rnacentral:rRNA from 1 species
GGUUCAGGAUGAACGCUGGUGGCGUAGCCUAAUACAUGCAAAGUGAAACGGGUAUCUUCGGAUACCAGUCGCGGACGGGUGAGUAAUACAUAGGCAACCUGCCUUUAUGAGGGGGAUAACCGAGGGAAACUUUGGCUAAUACCGCAUGAAGACUCUAAGGCAUCUUAGAGGGAUAAAAGUUGGGAAACAACGCAUGAAGAUGGGCUUAUGGCGCAUUAGCUAGUUGGUGAGAUAGAAGCCCACCAAGGUAAUGAUGCGUAGCCGACCUGAGAGGGUGAACGGCCACAUUGGGACUGAGACACGGUCCAGACUCCUACGGGAGGCAGCAGUGGGGAAUAUUGCACAAUGGGGGAAACCCUUGAUGCAGCAACGCCGCGUGGAGGAUGACGCAUUUCGGUGUGUAAACUCCUUUUAUAAGGGAAGAUAAUGACGGUACCUUAUGAAUAAGCACCGGCUAACUCCGUGCCAGCCGCCGC